rnacentral:rRNA from 1 species
GAUGAACGCUGGCGGCGUGCCUAACACAUGCAAGUCGAACGGAGCUUUGUGGAAUGAUUUCUUCGGAAUGAAUGAAAUAAAGCUUAGUGGCGGACGGGUGAGUAACGCGUGAGUAACCUGCCCUUGAGAGGGGGAUAACGUUCUGAAAAGAACGCUAAUACCGCAUAACGUAUAUUUGUCGCAUGGCAGAUAUACCAAAACUCCGGUGCUCAAGGAUGGACUCGCGUCCGAUUAGAUAGUUGGUGAGGUAACGGCUCACCAAGUCGACGAUCGGUAGCCGGACUGAGAGGUUGAACGGCCACAUUGGGACUGAGACACGGCCCAG